CAUUUGGGUUGGUUUUAAGUCUUUGCUAUUGUGAAUAGUGCUACACUGAACAUACACAUGCACGUAUCUUUAUAAAGGAAUGAUUUAUAUUCCUUUGGGUAUAUAC